GUGAAUCAUCGAAUUUUUGAACGCAAAUUGCGCUUCCUAGUACUCCGGGAAGUAUGCCUGUUUGAGGGUCAUUUUUAACAUAAAAUCGGUUUGGGUGCAAAUUGUGACGUUUACGGGAUUUUGGCAAAUCUUAACUUUUUUAGGUAAGGGGCUUAAAAUUGACCUUUUUUACGCAUUUUUAGACGUACAUAUAUUUUUUUUUAUUUUUCUAUUCUUAAUGUGAAAGUAU
rnacentral:misc_RNA from 1 species